ACUCGAGGCGGUGACGCGAAAGCAUCCCCUCUCGAAGGCGUUUCGGGGAGGAAACGUCCGCUCCGUCAGAGAGCGAAAGAAAGCCCGCUGCGAUGUAUCCCCCGCAGCGGGCUUUUUCGUGCGCGC
rnacentral:sRNA from 1 species